rnacentral:rRNA from 1 species
CUACGGGGCGCUGCAGUGAGGAAUAUUGCGCAAUGGGGGAAACCCUGACGCAGCGACGCCGCGUGGAUGAUGAAGGCCUUAGGGUCGUAAAAUCCUGUCAGGUGGGAAGAAGUGGAUAUAGAUUAAUACUCUAUUUCUUUGACGGUACCACCAAAGGAAGCACCGGCUAACUCCGUGCCAGCAGCCGCGGUAAUACGGAGGGUGCAAACGUUGUUCGGAAUUACUGGGCGUAAAGCGCGCGUAGGCGGUUUGUUAAGUCAGAUGUGAAAGUCCAUGGCUCAACUAUGGAAGUGCAUUUGAAACUGGCAGACUUGAGUACUGGAGGGGGUGAUGGAAUUCCCGGUGUAGAGGUGAAAUUCGUAGAUAUUAGGUGGAACACCAGUGGCGAAGGCGCCUAACUGGUCCGGUACUGACGCUGAGGAACGAAAGCGUGGGGAGCAAACAGGAUUAGAUACCCUCGUAGUC